rnacentral:rRNA from 1 species
GGGUAACCCAUCCCGAUGAAGUCGGGAUACUCCAAAUUAAUUUGGAGAGCGCACCCAGGGAAGUGAAACAUCUCAGUACCUGGAGGAAAAGAAAACAAAAGUCAUUCCCUAAGUAGCGGCGAGCGAAAAGGGAGAUAGCCUAAACCGUUUAAUAUGUCAACAUAUUAAACGGGGUUAUAAGAAAGAAACGCUUCAAAUUUUUUUGUGAGAUUUAUUUCACAAAAGAAUUUGAGUGGGAGAGUUACAAAAUCAUUUGUUAGCUGAAUCUUUUGGAAAAAAGAGCCAAAGAAGGUGAUAGCCCUGUAAGCGAAAACAAAUGAUCUCUCUAGUUUCUUUUCUUAAGUAGCUUGAGGUUGGAAUGCCUUGAGUGAAGUUGGGAGCACUAUUCUCCCAAGGCUAAAUACUUCCAAUGAUCGAUAGUGAACUAGUACCGUGAGGGAAAGGUGAAAAGCAGGCCGGUGAGGCCGAUGAAAUAGAACCUGAAACCGUAUGCCUACAAGGAACCGGAACCCGUAAGGGCGACGGUGUGCCUAUUGAAGAAUGAGCCAACGACUUAUUGUCUAUUGCAAGUCUAAUCCCGAUAACUCGGGAGGAGGCGUAGGGAAACCGAGUCUGAAUAGGGCGAUUUAGCAGUAGGCAAUAGACCCGAAGCCGGAUGAGCUUACCUUGGCCAGGGUGAAUUUCACCGAAAGGUGGGAGGAGGCCCGAACCGGUUGGUUGUUCAAAACCUUCGGAUGAGCUGAGGUAAGGAGUGAAAAGCUAAUCGAAUUCGGUAAUAGCUGGUUCUCUCCGAAAUAGCUUUAGGGCUAGCGUCAGCGAAAAAUUUUUCGCAGGUAGAGCUACUGGUUUAUGAGUAAAGGGCGCAAGCUCGGCUCAUGAGUCAAACUCCGAAUGGCGAAAAAUAUGCGCUGAUAGUCAGAACGUGGGGGCUAAGCUCCAUGUUCAAAAGGGAAACAGCCCAGACCACCAUCUAAGGUCCCUAAAUUCACGCUAAGUGUAAAAGGUAGUCAUAAUUCAUAGACAGAUAGGAGGUUGGCUUAGAGGUAGCCAUCCUUUAAAGAGUGUGUAACAACUCACUAUUUAAGAAUUAUGGCGCCGAAAAUGUACCGGGGCUAAGCGUGAUACCGAAGAUGUGGCUCAGUUUCAUUUUUAAAAUGAAACUGGGGGUAGGAGAGCAUUUCAAUUGCUGUGAAGCACUAGCCGUGAGGCGGUGUGGAGCAAUUGGAAGAGAGAAUGUUGGCAUGAGUAACCACUAUCCUAAUGAGAAAUUAGGACCCCGAAAAUCCAAGGUUUCCGUCCCACUGGCAAUCAAGGACGGGUUAGGCGGCCCUAAGCCGAUGGCGAAAGCCGAAGGCGAUGGAUAGCUGGUUAAUAUUCCAGCCCUUCCAUUCUUUUUCAAUGGGGUGACGAAAUGGAGUAGAUUUAGCGUCUUAUUGGUUUGACGUCCUUGAUCGAGGAUGUUUUGUAGGCAAAUCCGCAAAACUGCCUUUAAUGGCAAAUCCCAGAGUAAAGGCAAGUAUAAGUUUUUACUUAUACAAGUAAAUCGAGCCCAUUUCCAAGAAAAACCUCUAGAGUUAAAAGAAUGGAAUCCGUACCGGAAACCGACACAGGUGGAUAGGGCGAGAAGCCCAAGGGGAACGAGUGAUUCGCCGCUAAGGAACUCGGCAAAAAAGCUGGGCGUAACUUCGGGAUAUGCCCUUCCUGUUCUUAAGCUUGCUUAAGAAUGGGACGCAGCGAAAGUCUCUCUGGCGACUGUUUAUCAAAAACACAGCUCCCUGCUAACUCGUAAGAGGAUGUAUAGGGGGUGACGCCUGACCGAUGCGAGAAGGUUAAAUCUGCCGGUCAGUGUUU